AUUAUUCACAGGAACCCACCUGGACCUCCACCCAGCUCUGUGUCCUUACAGAGUGAGGCGCCUGGAGGUUUCCUCAUUGAUUUUAAAGUCUCUGCUGCAGAGAGAGGUCAGAGGUCACAGUCUGCAGGAUCCAGGUGUCCAUCUGUGAGGAGUGACUGGUCCAAACAUGACCCUCCACACUUCAGUGAUGAACCUGGACCAACGAGACAGUGCAUCUGCUCAUACUGGGACCAGUCUGCUUCAUCAGGAGACUGCUCCUGUCCCCAGUGUGGAGAAAGAUCCAGAACGAGAGCUGGACUGCAGACAGCCAGUCAGAGCAGCUGUGUACAAACAGAUGUUUGUCUGCAGGAGGUUAUAGAUGAACAUAAGAUCAGUCUGAGGAGGAGAUGUGAACGUGUGACUGAAGGAAGUGAUGAAACAGGAAGUAGAACCCUCCUCAACAGGAUCUACACUGAGCUCUACAUCACAGAGGGACAGAGUGAAGAGGUUCAUACCCAA